UUAAUAAUUCGAUUCGAAGUUAUGUGCUUUAAUCAUUCAUAAAUGCGAAACGGAUUAUUAAGU
rnacentral:pre_miRNA from 1 species